UGGAUCGAUGAUGAGCCCUGGUGGCGUACGAGUCGGAAUCGAUGACUACGUGUGUGAAUCUGAGGUCCAA